rnacentral:rRNA from 1 species
GAUGAACGCUGGCGGCGUGCCUAAUACAUGCAAGUCGAGCGAACAGACGAGGAGCUUGCUCCUCUGACGUUAGCGGCGGACGGGUGAGUAACACGUGGAUAACCUACCUAUAAGACUGGGAUAACUUCGGGAAACCGGAGCUAAUACCGGAUAACAUGUUGAACCGCAUGGUUCAACAGUGAAAGACGGUUUUGCUGUCACUUAUAGAUGGAUCCGCGUCGCAUUAGCUAGUUGGUAAGGUAACGGCUUACCAAGGCAACGAUGCGUAGCCGACCUGAGAGGGUGAUCGGCCACACUGGAACUGAGACACGGUCCAGACUCCUACGGGAGGCAGCAGUAGGGAAUCUUCCGCAAUGGGCGAAAGCCUGACAGAGCAACGCCGCGUGAGUGAAGAAGGUCUUCGGAUCGUAAAACUCUGUUAUUAGGGAAGAACAAAUGUGUAAGUAACUAUGCACGUCUUGACGGUACCUAAUCAGAAAGCCACGGCUAACUACGUG